GGGCUUAUCCUUCGCAUCUCCCACCCAACAGAGCCUUGAUAAUCGACCCCAAUGUGCACCAGACGUCAAGAUGGAAAAGAGGCUCGUCAUGUAUGAAGUUGUAUCGUUCGCUUGCUUCCUCCUUUCGAGUCUGGUGGCCAAAUCACUCAAGGUUUUUAUCAGUUUCCAUAGGAACAAAAAUGAUCUGGACAUUUCUAAUACUCAUCAAUAUCAAGUAAUAAAGCCAAGUAGAGGUUUCAU
rnacentral:misc_RNA from 1 species